GAUUUGUCGAAAUAUAUGUACGUUUCAAGCGUGAUCGUCCCCAUCUAGCGGAAAAAUACCGCUGGUGUACCGAUAUUCCAUUGCAAGUGGAAUAUUCCUGGCGGAAAGAAAAGUCGUACCAUCGUUCAUCCGCACUGUCACGUAGAGCGGCAAGCUCUUAUUCUACAGGCAUUUCUCUCCCUCUUUCUCUAUACGCGUAUGUCCUCUAACUCCUUUUAUCCUCCAUAAGGAAUACAUUCUCUACUGCCAUGAAACGCCAACAAACCAUGUGAAGAACAAAGAGAAACGGUGUACAAACCAUGGUGGUCGCGUUAGUAUCGAACGACAAGGAUAUUCUCGCUCGAAAUCACUGGGAGGACUGGCAGCACUUCCGCUUGAGUUCCAACGUUGGAAACGAUAAAAGUCGCCGGAGAAAUCAACUUUCCAAUAAAUAGAGAAUUCACUCGUAACUGGUGCGGGUCACCUGGGUUUUCGUUUGCACUUGCUCAACAACCACGGUCAUCGACUCCAAGAAACGACCGACUAUUGGACACAAUUAUACUUAUUGCCAAGCACGAGUCAUUGAAUUUCAACUAU
rnacentral:misc_RNA from 1 species